GUAGGGAAUAUUGGGCAAUGGUCGGAAGACUGACCCAGCCAUGCCGCGUGCAGGAAGACGGCCCUCUGGGUUGUAAACUGCUUUUAUCUGGGAAGAAAAAGGCCAUGCGUGGCAAAUUGCCGGUACCAGAUGAAUAAGCACCGGCUAACUCCGUGCCAGCAGCCGCGGUAAUACGGAGGGUGCGAGCGUUGUCCGGAUUUAUUGGGUUUAAAGGGUGCGUAGGCGGCUGAUUAAGUCAGCGGUGAAAGACUUCGGCUUAACCGGAGCAGUGCCGUUGAUACUGGUUGGCUUGAGUGUCGGAGGGGUACAUGGAAUUGAUGGUGUAGCGGUGAAAUGCAUAGAUACCAUCAGGAACACCGAUAGCGAAGGCAUUGUACUGACCGACAACUGACGCUGAUGCACGAAAGUGUGGGGAUCGAACAGGAUUAGAUACCCCUGUAGUCC
rnacentral:rRNA from 1 species